CUGCAACUCGACUACAUGAAGCUGGAAUCGCUAGUAAUCGCGGAUCAGAAUGCCGCGGUGAAUACGUUCCCGGGUCUUGUACACACCGCCCGUCACACCAUGGGAGUCGGGAAUGCCCGAAGCCGGUGACCUAACCGCAAGGAAGGAGCCGUCGAAGGUGGAGCCGAUGACUGGGGUGAAGUCGUAACAAGGUACC
rnacentral:rRNA from 1 species